AUCGGCUGUUGAACAUUUUUCCACUUAAUAUGAGGGCAAGACUCCAGAAUCUAGAGGAUUUCCGAAUAAGAGAUUGUGAUUCAUUAGAAGAAAUAUUUGAACAUGAAGCGCUCAAUACCAACGACUUACAUUCAGUGACUGCCACUCAAUCCAUUGCGGAAGAAACAACCACUAAUUUUGUAUUUCCUAAACUAACAUACUUGGAACUUUAUAUGCUGCCCAGAUUGAGGAGUUUCUGCUCUACGAUACAUACUACGGAGUGGCCAUCAUUAAAGAAAAUGUGGAUAUAUGGAUGUGACAAAGUGGAGAUAUUUGCUUCAGAAAAUAUUCGGAGCUUUGGAGAAUCAACAAAUCAUCAACCCCUGUUUUGGGUAAAUGAGGUUACAUUUCCCAAUCUGGAAGAAUUAAAAUUGGAGUGGAAUGACAUUAUGAAAGAGAUAUGGCAUGGACAACUUAGAGCAAACUUUUUCUACAAACUAAAAGUUCUUGAGCUCAUUCACUUUCCUGAUCAAUCAGCUGUUUUCCCACAUUGUUUUAUUCAGUCAUUACCAAAUUUAGAAAAGCUUGCUGUUAGUGAAGCUUCCUUUAGUCAUAUAUUCCAUUUUGAAGGAUUUGAUGGUCAGAAAAAUCAUGCAUCGGCAAUCACUUCGUUGAAUGAAUUGGUGCUGUCUGAACUUCCUGAGCUAACACAUCUUUGGAAGGAAGAAUACCACCCCAUACCAGCUUUCUGUGAACUGAGAACUCUUCAAGUGCGGGAUUGUGGCAAAUUAAAGAUUUUAGCGCCAUCAUCAGUGUCUUUUGAAAAUUUAACAACUUUGGAAGUUUCAAGAUGUCAUGGAUAUGUGAAUUUGAUAACAUGCUCAACAGCUAAGAGCCUAGUGCAACUCACAAGAAUGACCAUAACUGAUUGUGAGAUGAUAGAGAAAAUCAUAGCAUGUGAGUCUGAGGAAGUGAAAGGAGACAUUGUUUUUACUGAACUGAAGUAUUUGCAACUAAGUUGUCUACCAAAUAUGGCUAGCUUCUGCUUAGGGGAUCACAACUUGGAAUUCCCUAUCUUGGAGAAAAUGAUUGUGAGAGAAUGCCCAAAGAUGAUGAUUUUCUGCCAAGGAGAUUUAAGCACACCACAACUCCAAAAAGUGAUAUUGACAGAAGAUGGAGAUGAAGAAAAUGGGCAGUGGGAAGGCGAUCUUAAAACUACUAUAAAACGGAUGUUUGAAGAAGAGUACUUCCACUUCCAAAAUAUCACUGAAGGUGAGGGAAGAAAUGUGGGAAGAGAUGAAUCACAAGCAUGCUAAUAUUGGCAUUUCAUAGAACUCAAGCUUUGUUCCAAAGUCAGGGCCUCAUAGGAAGCCUAGUCGCUGAGCAUCUACAAUUUGGAUGCAUAGAGGGACUCCAUGAUGAUGUUGACAAGCUGGAUAAAGUACUUAGCUGGUUGGGUUACACUGCGAUCAAGUUAGAUGGGCUGCAUCGAAUACUAUUACAAUAGAAGAUGCUGAUGUUGGGAGAGAAAUCGAGCUGGUUCGCAAGCUCUAUCAGAGCAUCCCUCAAUCUGCUGUCCUUUGUGAGAGUGGCCAGAACAGUUGUAGAGUGGUUUCCACAAGCAAAAAUUUCUUCAAUUUAUUGCCCAUGAUGUAACUAGCAUUAUAAUUAAGCGUUGUCUUCUACUUCAUGUUCAAAUUGCAUGUAAGUUGGCUAUGAUUAGAACUUUGUAGUUCAACUUGAACUCUUAGAUAGUUCUGUUUUUACAUUUAGCAGGAUCCAAUGAGCAAUACAUGAAGAUUGUACAGUCUACAACAUCAUCUUGGUCCGUUCUUGCUCAUCCAGGAAAGGAAAUUCAGACAAAAACCAUUGUUUCUGAUGAUUUUUUGUA